GGGAAGGGACCACGGGAGGUAUCCAGUGCCUGGUGGAGCAUGGGCAGCUCUGGGGACCCACCAGGGCUGGAUCUUGGAGUCCUCCAGAGAUGGAGGCUGCUCAGCCCCACGGGCACUAGGUUCUGCUGCUUCUCCUCCUGGUGAAAAGCAUUUCCUGAUGUCCCUCCUGGCUGUCCCUCAUUCCAGCUGCUGCUCUCUCCCAUCACUCUCUGAGGUGAAGAGCUUGGCUGUUUCCUCCACAAUCUCCUUCCCUGGGAUGGGAAGGUCCCUGUUAGGUCCCCCCACCCCAGACCUGUGUCAUCUCCAGCUCAUCUCCCUCCUUGCCCACCAUGUUCCUCUGGGUGGCAUCCACUGCUCUGGCUCCAGAUCUCCCUGGAGUCAGGGUUCCAGACUGGAUGAGCUCUCCUCACACCAGGCACUUGGGGAGGAGGGGACAGGGGGUGGAUGGUUGGAAUGAGCUCCCAAGCCAGGACAAGGUCACAGUUCCACACUCCCAGCCAAGGCUCCUCAGGCUCUGCAGUUCCUGCUCUGGAGACAAGAGCUCCUCCAGGUCCAAGACCAGCUCUGUGCCCUGUCCCUGGGAUUCACCAUCAGAGAGUCUGCAGGAGAGUUUGUGGAAUUUUGGUCAACACUGUCGGGGACAGCGCUGGCUGAUUGUUCUGAGCACAAAACUAAUGCUGCAAAAAACAAACCCACGUGCCACAAAAAGCUGCAAGGACAUUUCAGACGCUAACACAGGAUGUUGAAUUGAAGACAGCAUGCAAAAAGACCAGGAGAAAUCAGAAUACUCCUCCCCUGAGGUGCUCACCUCAUCCAGAGUGUGCAGAGGGAUCAGAUCUCCGUGUUGAACAGAGUUAAACCAGCUCUGAAGGCACUUUUCCACAUUCAUAACUUAUUACUGGAUUGUCCAGAAGCUUUAUUGGAUUCUGCUGUGAAUUACCCACAGCUGCUGAGGUUUUGAACCACCAAAACCCAGUUCAGGAUUAAAUGAUCAAAAUAGCCCCUCCUGGCUUUAGAGUUUUGGGACAUUAUUUAUAUUCUUUUUUAUUCUUAAUCCUUCAACCUUCAUGCACAGAUUUACUCACUGGAAUCUAGUGCUCACUUCCUGCACCUCAGGAUUUAUCCAGUAGGAUUUCAUAAUCUUUAAUCAUUAAGGCCCUUCCAUGGUCAAUGAGGCUGUGAGGAAAUACCUUGUGGGAUAAUUUUUGCAAGGCAACGUCAAGACAAACCUUCAGAAUUUAAUGGCUGGAAAUCAGGAUUUUAAAUGCUUAGAAAGGACAGAAGAGGGAGAAAGGGAAAUAAGAAACUUGGGGGGAAAAGGGAAAGUGGUGAACUUUCUGAUCUGAGGACAAGUUCUGGUAUUUCAGCUCUGCCUUUACAGUGAGCCUCAACCCAAGUCAAAAUCAAGCCUUGGAUGAACAGGAAUUGAGAAUCUCAUCCCCACAGCUGGACCUUCUCCUUAGAAAACCCCAACAAAAGUAAAGAAACGUUCCCUCAAACACCACAACAGCAAAGCAACAAGAACAAUCAGUCACAAAAACCAAAAAAAUGUGCCCUGAGCAGAUUUUGUGAGGGUGAGACCAUGAAAAACAACAAGAGCCCUAAAUGCAAGGUUUUGCACAAGUGUAACUCACCCAACGAAGGUUUCCAGGCACAGGGAAGCCCCGAGGAGGGCACUGAAGAUCAAAAUCAGCUUCAUGUUUGCUGCGAGUUCAGCUGGGCUGGCAAAGGGGAAUUUAUACAGAGCUUUAUUUUUCAGAUCAAACACGUCUGCUAGAACCUAUCACUCCAUGUGAUCAAGUUCUCACAUUUAUCAGAGCCUUCAAGGCAACCAGCAAGCUCAUU